GACGAACGCUGGCGGCGUGCUUAACACAUGCAAGUCGAACGAAGUGGCGAACGGGUGAGUAACGCGUAAUCAACCUGCCCUUCAGAGGGGGACAACAGUUGGAAACGACUGCUAAUACCGCAAACUGAAGGAGGGGAUUGCGUCUGAUUAGCUAGUUGGAGGGGUGACGGCCCACCAAGGCGAUGCUCAGUAGCCGGUCUGAGAGGAUGAACGGCCACAUUGGGACUGAGACACGGCCCAGACUCCUACGGGAGGCAGCAGUGGGGAAUCUUCCGCAAUGGACGAAAGUCUGACGGAGCAACGCCGCGUGAGUGAUGACGGCCUUCGGGUUGUAAAGCUCUGUUGAUCGGGACGCGGUACCGAAAUAGAAAGCCACGGCUAACUACGUGCCAGCCGCCGCGGUAAUGC
rnacentral:rRNA from 1 species